UGGAAGUAAAAUCGUAACAAGGUUUCCGUAGGUGAACCUGCGGAAGGAUCAUUAAUAAAUGGUCUACGUUUUUAAGUAGACGCUUAAUAAUCCUACCCUUUGUGAAUUUGUUGUUUUGAAAUAAUUUUUUUUAAAAUUAUUGAUUGUCUUUCCCUGUUGAAUAGAUGUUUUCGAACAUGAAAUUCGCAGGGGGUGUCAGUAAUUUUUAAAAAGACCUUUUUUAAAUUAAACUUUUUGUAUUCAUUUGUCUAAAAUUAUUAUUUUAUAAUAUAAAAACAACUUUUGACAAUGGAUCUCUUGGUUCUCGCAACGAUGAAGAACGCAGCAAAAUGCGAUAAGUAGUGUGAACUGCAGAAUACGUGAAUCAUCGAAUCUUCGAACGCAUAUUGCACUUUUUUAGUUUACUAAAAAAGUAUGUCUGUUUGAGUAUCAGUAAGAUAUUCUCAUAAAAACACUGUUUUUUAUGGUUAUGAGUGUUUUACAACGAUACAAGUUGUUUCACUUUAAAUUUUUUUAAAAUUUGAAUUUUUCUAAUUUUAAAAUAAAAUUGGAUAAAAUUUUCCCGUAAAAAGGAAUAACCUAAACAAUUUUAGUUUUUUGAUUAGAAUUUUUCAUUAUAAAGGAAAAUUUAAUAAAUAACUUGAUCUCAAAUCAGAUAAGAGUACCCGCUGAACUUAAGCAUAUCAAUAAGCGGAGGAAAAGAAACUAACAAGGAUUCCCUUAGUAACGGCGAGUGAAGCGGGAAGAGCUCAAAUUUGAAAUCUUCAAGGUUUUACCUUGACGAAUUGUAGUUUAAAGAAGUGUUUUCUGUUGAAGUUUUGGUAAAAGUUCUUUGGAAUAGGACAUCAUAGAGGGUGAGAAUCCCGUAUUUGACCAUUAUUUUCAGCUGUGUGAUACACUUUCAAAGAGUCGGAUUGUUUGGGAAUGCAGUCCAAAAUGGGUGGUAAAUUUCAUCUAAAGCUAAAUAUUGGCGAGAGACCGAUAGCGAACAAGUACCGUGAGGGAAAGAUGAAAAGAACUUUGAAAAGAGAGUUAAACAGUACGUGAAAUUGUCAAAAGGGAAGCGUUUGACACCAGUGUUGUUUCUCGAAAUCAAUUAAAAAAAGUUGGAUUUUGUGUUGUAUUGACCUUAACAGCUUGCUUCACUCUUUUCCUGCUUUUUUUAAUGCACUUUUCGUUUAACAAGUCAACAUCAGUUUCUUUAGUUGUAAAAGGGUCAUUGGAAGGUGGCUUUCUCUUCGGAGAUAGUGUUUAUAGCCUUUGAUCUCUGCAAUCGGAGAGACUGAGGUCUGCAGCGUAGAUCCUUCGGGGUUAGAUACAUUUGUGCUAAGCUACAGCUUUUCAUAGACAACUUGUUGCUAUGUUUAGUCUUGUAACUUACCCGCUUAUGCUAUUUUACCUACGCUUAGGAUGUUGAA
rnacentral:misc_RNA from 1 species